UCCUACGGGGAGGCAGCAGUAGGGAAUCUUCCACAAUGGACGAAAGUCUGAUGGAGCAACGCCGCGUGAGUGAUGAAGGUUUUCGGAUCGUAAAACUCUGUUGUAAGGGAAGAACAAGUACGUUAGGAAAUGAACGUACCUUGACGGUACCUUAUUAGAAAGCCACGGCUAACUACGUGCCAGCAGCCGCGGUAAUACGUAGGUGGCAAGCGUUGUCCGGAUUUAUUGGGCGUAAAGCGCGCGCAGGUGGUUUCUUAAGUCUGAUGUGAAAUCUCGCGGCUCAACCGCGAGCGGUCAUUGGAAACUGGGGAACUUGAGUGCAGAAGAGGAUAGUGGAAUUCCAAGUGUAGCGGUGAAAUGCGUAGAGAUUUGGAGGAACACCAGUGGCGAAGGCGACUGUCUGGUCUGUAACUGACACUGAGGCGCGAAAGCGUGGGGAGCAAACAGGAUUAGAUACCCUGGUAGUCCACGCCGUAAACGAUGAGUGCUAAGUGUUAGGGGGUUUCCGCCCCUUAGUGCUGCAGCUAACGCAUUAAGCACUCCGCCUGGGGAGUACGACCGCAAGGU
rnacentral:rRNA from 1 species